AAUCCAAUUGUAACACAAAAUUAGUUGCAAAUUUGAGUCUAACAGUGCCAACAGCUUCAACUGAAACCUUGGUUCCCUCACCCACAAAAACAUUAUAACAAUUUGUUUGUUUUUGUUUCUUAAAACCUUGCAAUGAAUUAAUUAAAUGGACAGAUGCACCAGUAUCAAACCACCAACAGUUUGCGGGAAUUUCAAUGAGAUUCGAUUCUUCACAGAUAUAAACAUCAGUUCUACCCUUUGACCUCAAGCAACCCUUGAAUAUUUCACAAUUUUUCUACAGUGUCCUUUGGUUUUGCAGUGAUGACAUCUAAUUUUAUCAAUAUUCUUAGCCUUCUUCUUAAAAUUGUUAGACUUACAGGAACUGGAACUUUUAGCAGAAAUAAUAGACUUAUCAGAGAAGUUGGAUUUAGAAGUUUUACCCGAAUUUGCUUUAAACUCCUUCUUUCCUUUGGUUGAUUGCACAAAUUGAUAAGCUUCUUUGCCUUUGUCCUGGUUUUGUCGGUUUUCUUCUUGCACGCAUUGAGCUAUAAGUUUAUCCACCAUCCACGUUUUACCUUGAGUAUUGUAAGGGACCUUUAGUUGACUGAACUUCAAGGGCAAUGCUUGCAGUAUCAUGAAUACAAGCUGCUUUUCACAAAACUUCAUAUCUAAUGAAUUUAGUUUCUCAGCUGCAUUAGUCAUCUUCAUUAUAUGAUCUAUGAUUGAUCCUCCUCCUUCAAACUUGUAAGUGGUGAGAAGAGUCAUGUACUAAGCUAUUUCAACAUUUUGAAGUUCCUUGAACUUGUUCCCAAUUGCUAUGAGAUAAUCUUUUGCAAUAUCACAUUUCUUAAUACCCCCACGCACAGUGUCAGUCAUGCCACUUUCCAAUAUUGAAAGUGCAACUUUGUUUGCUCUAGCCCUUCAUUCAAACUCCACCUUUUCAGCUUUGGUACUUUUGCCAGUAAGAGCUGAUGUGCUCUGUCAUACUUAUUUAGUAUCAAAAGCAACUCAAUUUCUCUCCUCCACUUUCUAUAAUUGCUUCCACCAUUGAGUACAAGCACAGCAGCCAAGUUGAUGGUUUUAAGUGAAAAUGCAGAAUGACAGCAAUGAAAUCAAGACUUUGAAUCUAACAAGAUUCUUGAUUUCUAUCAAUUCCAACACUUUUAAUUCUGAAUGUGAAUCAAUUUAAUCAUAUAUAUAGUCACUGAACAUGUUUAGAUCAGGCACUUACAGAAUAAACAAUUCACAAGGAAUUACAAACACAGAUCCGAUCCAUGUCCAAGAGAAAGAAUUUCUUAGGCCAUUCAUUACAUGUAUCCAAUUUCUGCAGAAAGUAUCAAUGAAACCAACAACAUACACUAAUUUAUAGCAAUGGAAGCAAUUUAUAUUUACAACUUAAGUUCAAUAUUUGUUAGAAAAUAACGAUUUGGAUUCAGCAAUAUUCAAUUGCAGAUGUUAUCUACAAACAAAUUAAAUCAUCUCAAUGUUGCUGUCAAAUUCCAAAAUUCCUAAUCUACAACUAAUUAUUUAACCAAAGUUUUGAAGAAUUAGAAAGCAAAACGUACCUUCAGCACUUGCAUAUUCUUGUUUGAAUGUUAAUGAGGAUUGUCGUGGUCAAGAGAAAGAAGAAACAAAACUUCUCAAUCGUCACAACUUUUAGCAAAAGCAAGAAAGAAAAGAAACCAAAAACCCAGAAAAUAACAGUAAAAAAUUUAAAAAACCACUGACGUCUCUUUCGCACCCCCCCUUUUUUUUUUUUUUUUUUUUUUUAAACGGUGUCGUUUUGAGUUGUAAACGGUGUCUUUCCUUUAAUUCUUUCUGGGUUCGACAAAAGCUUGGAAUUUAGAUGGAAAUUUGAUCUUGAACAAGAUUUAUGAUUUCAAUGGUCUAAAUUUUAUCAGUUCUGAUACCACAUGUAAGAUAUACAUAUCAUAUAUAUCUCAAUAAUAUUAGCCACAAGUCAGCCAAUUAAUUGAAUCACCGUAAAUCAAGAACAAUCUAAAUAUUCGUCAACAAACACAUCUAUGGAAAGCUCAUGUACUUAGUGGCCAAAUAAUAUUCUAAUUUUCGCUUGUGUGGAUGUGAAAGGGAGAGUCCUACAUCGGAGAUUUAAUAAACCUUGCAACGACUUUCAAGAAACUUCUCAUUUCUAAUUGGUUUGGGAUAGAACCUCAACAUUUUAUUUUAUAUAUACUAAAGCUCAACGGAUGGGUACUGUUCAUUAACAGUGCCCAUCCGGUUUUAACCCUCAUUUUAUUUAUGGUUUUUGGACUUUGGUGGGAUUGUGCAAUAAAUUGUCUAUUUUGCCCCUCUUUCAUUUUUGUUUGCAGCUGUUGCUCUCAUUUGAAAGGUGCUUUUUGGUGUUUUUGGUUGAGCUUUGGCCACGUUGUGUUUUAUAGUAAAGAUGCCGGAAGCAUCUUCGACUUUUUCUUUUCCUCUUCUAUUUUCUUUCUGUCAUUCCGUUUCUCUUUAGUUUUCCCGUCUGUCUUUUGAUUUCGGUUCCGAUCGGAUCUUCUCGAAGGUGUUUGGCGUUUUUUUCCCCUGUUUUGCACAAACGAAUCGCUCCCGUUCAGGUCUGAGCAUUCUGGUUAGCAGGCCCGCUUAGUUGAAUCAGCUAAGUUUCAUGUCUGACAUCGAUGUACUGCUUCCACUGCCUUUGAUUAAGAUUUUUUGGCGAGAGAAUCAAGUUCAAAAUUCAAUUGAGGUUGCAUUUGCAAAGGGAGAAAAACAUCUUAGAUAGUUUUUGUGCUUAUGAAACAUUUGAGGGUAAGAUGCACAUGGUUAUUUAAAUCUGUGGGUUUUGUUUCUUCGAUUUUAAAAUGGAAAAAACUUAACAUUUUUUUUCCUUAGAUUUUAAUUAGAACGUGUUGUAAAGCUUUUUAUGCAUUGCUGUGGUUUAUUGUAAUAAGUUGGCAACUAUGUAUAAGGAGCUAUUAGUUUUGGAUUUACAGAAAUUAGGUGUUCAAUUAGUUGAGAUUAUUUGGUUUCCUUUCAA